rnacentral:tRNA from 2 species
GCCUCGUUGGCGUAGAGGUCAACGCAGCCGCCUGUCGAGCGGAAGAUCGCCGGUUCGAAUCCGGUACGAGGCGC